CCCAGUAAACGGCGGCCGUAACUAUAACGGUCCUAAGGUAGCGAAAUUCCUUGUCAGGUAAGUUCUGACCCGCACGAAAGGCGUAACGAUUUGGGCGCUGUCUCGGCAGCAGACUCGGUGAAAUCUUAGUACCUGUGAAAAUGCAGGUUACCCGCAACUAGACGGAAAGACCCCAUGGAGCUUUACUGUAGCCUGAUAUUGAAUUUUGAUCAAAGAUGUACAGGAUAGGUGGGAGGCGAAGAGACGUGUACGCCAGUAUACGAGGAGCCGCUGUUGGGAUACCACUCUUGUUUGAUUGAAGUUCUAACCUGCACCCAUGAACUGGGUGAGGGACCGUGUCAGGUGGGCAGUUUGACUGGGGCGGUCGCCUCCUAAAGAGUAACGGAGGCGCCCAAAGGUACGCUCAGAUUGGAUGGAAAUCAAUCGACGAGUGCAAAUGCAGAAGCGUGCUUGACUGUGAGACAAACAAGUCGAACAGGGACGAAAGUCGGGAUUAGUGAUCCGGCGGUGCCGAAUGGAAGGGCCGUCGCUCAACGGAUAAAAGCUACCCUGGGGAUAACAGGCUGAUCUCCCCCAAGAGUCCACAUCGACGGGGAGGUUUGGCACCUCGAUGUCGGCUCGUCGCAUCCUGGGGCUGUAGUAGGUCCCAAGGGUUGGGCUGUUCGCCCAUUAAAGCGGUACGCGAGCUGGGUUCAGAACGUCGUGAGACAGUUCGGUCCCUAUCUGUUGUGGGCGUUGGAGAUCUGAGGAGAGCUGUCCUUAGUACGAGAGGACCGGGAUGGACCUACCGCUGGUGCACCAGUUGUUCCGCCAGGAGCAUAGCUGGGUAGCUAAGUAGGGAAGGGAUAAGCGCUGAAAGCAUCUAAGCGCGAAGCCUACUCCAAGAUGAGAUCUCCCAUUCGUAUAACGAAGUAAGACCCCUUGAAGACGACGAGGUGGAUAGGUCAGAGAUGGAAGUGUAGCGAUACAUGGAGUUGACUGAUACUAAUAGGUCGAGGACUUAAUCAC
rnacentral:rRNA from 1 species